UACGUAGGUGGCAAGCGUUGUCCGGAUUUACUGGGCGUAAAGAGCGCGCAGGCGGUCGUUCAAGUCGCGUGUGAAAGCCCCCGGCUCAACUGGGGAGGGUCACGCGAUACUGAUCGACUCGAAGGCAGGAGAGGGUAGUGGAAUUCCUGGUGUAGCGGUGGAAUGCGCAGAUAUCAGGAGGAACACCGGUGGCGAAGGCGGGUCUCAGGGCAGUAACUGACGCUGAGGAGCGAAAGCGUGGGGAGCGAACAGG
rnacentral:rRNA from 1 species